rnacentral:rRNA from 1 species
GGUAAGGAUGCUGUAGCACUGUAAGGACUUCUUAGAGGGACAAGCGGCGCUCGCAGCCGCACGAAACAGAGCAAUAACAGGUCUGUGAUGCCCUUAGAUGUCCGGGGCCGCACGCGUGCUACACUGAAGUGGUCAUCGUGCAUACUGUUUCCUGCUCCGAAAGGAGUGGGUAACCGCUUGAACCCAUUUCGUGAUGGGGAUUGGGCAUUGUAAUUAUUGCCCAUGAACGAGGAAUUCCCAGUAAGCGCGAGUCAUAAGCUCGCGUUGAUUACGUCCCUGCCCUUUGUACACACCGCCC